CAGCCGCCACGGGAAUACAGAGGGUGCGAGCGUUAAUCGGAUUUACUGGGCGUAAAGCGUGCGUAGGCGGCUUCUUAAGUCGGAUGUGAAAUCCCUGAGCUUAACUUAGGAAUUGCAUUCGAUACUGGGAAGCUAGAGUAUGGGAGAGGAUGGUAGAAUUCCAGGUGUAGCGGUGAAAUGCGUAGAGAUCUGGAGGAAUACCGAUGGCGAAGGCAGCCAUCUGGCCUAAUACUGACGCUGAGGUACGAAAGCAUGGGGAGCAAACAGGAUUAGAGACCCGUGUAGUCCCUGUCUCUUAUAC
rnacentral:rRNA from 1 species